CCGCCCCACUCGGGCUGAAGGCAGUGAUGUGGCCAAUGCAGUCCUGGAUGGAGCCGACUGCAUCAUGCUGUCUGGAGAAACAGCCAAAGGGGACUAUCCUCUGGAGGCUGUGCGCAUGCAGCACCUGAUAGCUCGUGAGGCUGAGGCAGCCAUGUUCCACCGCAAGCUGUUUGAAGAACUUGUGCGAGCCUCAAGUCACUCCACAGACCUCAUGGAAGCCAUGGCCAUGGGCAGCGUGGAGGCUUCUUAUAAGUGUUUAGCAGCAGCUUUGAUAGUUCUGACGGAGUCUGGCAGGUAGGGCCCUAAGGGCAGGUAACACUGUUAGGAUAACCAGCCUCUUGCUCUACCUGCUCUAGGAGAAGACAGCCAGGCCCAACCUGGCAUCUGGGCACAGAGCCUCUUCUCGUCUGUAGGAACACCGCCAGGGAGGUCAUGGCAGGGCAGGACCAAAGGGUCCUGUGGCUCAGUAGGCACAGUAGAUGUCACAGGCACUUGGUGAAGGACUGGUUUCUGUGGAGUCUUGAUCUUGGCUCAGCUCAGAAUCUCCAGUGAUUGGGCUCCUCUUGGCCUUUGUCCCCAGGAACGUGUUCCUCACCAGCUGUCCGGUGACUCUUCCCCUCCCUCUC
rnacentral:sRNA from 1 species